GACGAACGCUGGCGGCGUGCUUAACACAUGCAAGUCGAACGGAGCGAAUGAAAGCUUGCUUUUAUGAGCUUAGUGGCAAACGGGUGAGUAACACGUAGACAACCUGCCGACAGGGUGGGGACAACAUUCCGAAAGGAAUGCUAAUACCGAAUGAAGCGGAGGAGAGGCAUCUCUCCUCCGUGAAAGAUGGCCUCUGAAAAUGCUAUCACCUGUCGAUGGGUCUGCGUCUGAUUAGCUAGUUGGUGAGGUAACGGCUCACCAAGGCGACGAUCAGUAGCCGGUCUGAGAGGAUGAACGGCCACAUUGGGACUGAGACACGGCCCAGACUCCUACGGGAGGCAGCAGUGGGGAAUCUUCCGCAAUGGGCGCAAGCCUGACGGAGCAACGCCGCGUGAGUGAAGAAGGUCUUCGGAUCGUAAAGCUCUGUUGACGGGGACGAACGUACGGAGUGCGAAUAGUGCUCU
rnacentral:rRNA from 1 species